UACGGAGGGUGCGAGCGUUGUCCGGAAUCACUGGGCGUAAAGGGCGCGUAGGUGGCACGGGUAGUCGUCGGUGAAAGCUCAGGGCUCAACCCUGAGUCGGCCGGUGAUACUCCCGAGCUCGAGUAUGGUAGAGGCCAAUGGAAUUCCGGGUGUAGCGGUGGAAUGCGUAGAGAUCCGGAAGAACACCGGUGGCGAAGGCGGUUGGCUGGGCCACAACUGACACUGAUGCGCGACAGCGUGGGGAGCAAACAGG
rnacentral:rRNA from 1 species